ACCCGGGUUUACUCCUCAGCCCAGGGGAGAGGAUUGCUAUUUGGAUAUAGUUGUUGGUUUCCCAGAGUCUUGAGUUAAUCCUCCUCUUUGGGGAGAGGUAUAGUUUUCCCCAAAUAUUCAGUCCCCUUCUUUAGUGUCAGAAAGCAGACAGAUCUGAUCUAAGUAGUAAUACUUUUAACUAGGAUCACCCAGGGAAGAGAGGGAUGAAGGUAUUGGGUGAGGAGAGUGGGUAGCAGGAAUCCCUAUUGGCUGGCAGACUGACCCACUGCCUCCAAAUCUCUGGGGUCCAGGCUCUUGACCUUGACCACUCUUCUAGUCAGCUGCUAGGUUCGUCCCUACUCCUGAGCUAAUCUGGCUAGGAUGAUGGAGUUCAGGACAAAUUGAGGAUAGAGAAGUAGAGAAUAAUUCUUGGAGAGGAUUUCCUUAGUAGAUGGCUUCUUUCAAGGUCUAGUCUACAAUAUUUGAGCUGAAUAAGAGAUUCAGGGGUUCACUAGGAAGCAGUUGAUGUCCAGGGGGAUUCCCAGCCUCAGAGGGCCUUUUCUCAGGAUCUUGGCUGGAGGAGUGGAGUUGAGCUGGCAGUUUUUUGAGUUCCCACAGCUUCUGUUCUCUCCCUGGAAUCUUGUUUUUUUUUUCCACUUUCUGCCCCUCCCCCACAUGGACUGCUUCUUGCUCCACUGGAUCUGGUUUCUCUAUUUUGUAUAUUCCUCUCUUGCAUCCUAGAACAUUUUUAUUCAUAUUAUUGAAUAACAUAUAGUACCAUUUUGAAGGAAUUUGCUAUCCAAGUCGCAUUUUGUCCAGGGUUAUGGGAAUAAUACAUUACAUCAUAAUGCAUGGAUUCCAGUCCCUAUCUGUGAAUUUUCUCCAGCACUGGUUCUCUCAUUUAUCUUGUGAUGCCUUCUUCAAAGUGACUCAGGCAUUUCUUUUUGCCUCUAAAAUGACCUGCCAGUCUUCUUCUGAAAAGUGUGUACAAGGGAAUGACCAGAAGCAAAGAAGAUUUGAAUUUGGAAGAAAUGCUUCAGAAGAAGAAUUCUUCUUGUCUUGGGCUCUUUGGAGCUGGGAGGGAGAACAACUUUGGCUGUUAAAAUACCCAAAUCUCUCAAUCCUGUUAUCUGAGUAGAAGAAAGAAGAAGCUUGGGUUUUCUUCUCCAACUGCUUUUGAUCCUGGCUGGAAUUCCAUCCCAACCCCCGAGGUCUUGUGAGGUUCCAUCUGCUCCUCUUCUGAAGCAUUUCUUCCAAAUUCAAAUCUUUGCUUUUGGUCAUUCCUUUGUACACAAUAGUCAGGAAGGACUACAUUAUUUCAUCUAUUCUUCGAAGCCACUGUUGAAUAUUAUAAUUACAUGGGGUU
rnacentral:lncRNA from 1 species